rnacentral:lncRNA from 1 species
UUUCUUUUACCCUUUUCUGUCUCUUCAGCUUAUUCUCUGCUUUCUCUCUCUACAAGGUAAGAACAUAGGUUGAAUCUCUUCACUAAAUUCUAGGAAAGCACGUCGAAAUCUGGGAAUAGUCACCGGAAAAUUUAAAAGCUAUCGGGAAGUUCUACUGGAAACUGGAAUUCUUAGAAAAAAUUUCCAAAAAAUCAAAAAGUCGCAAAAAAAAUUCCCAAACCCUUUUUUGCCUUCUAGAAUCCUCUAGUAACCCCAGAUCGAACUUUUCCCAAUUUCAAAAACAAAAAAAAAUUUUCCAAAAAAAACUUGUAUUUUGCUCGUGUUCUUUCUGUAAUUUUGCUGUGUAUUUUCUUUGCUAAUUCGGUGUGAUUUUUCUGUAUCCCCUUGCUUGUUGGUUAUCUGUUCUUUUAUAGAUGGGAAUCCCAGCUUAAUCAGUAUUUAAAUUAAAGCUGGAUUCUUCAAAAUCUUAUCUUAUAAUCAGAUGGGAAUUGAGUUUUAUAUUCAAUGAAAUCCUUUUUAUUCACAACUCCUUCAUCAAUUUCAAUCAAAC